UACGAAGGGGGCUAGCGUUGUUCGGAGUUACUGGGCGUAAAGGGCGCGUAGGCGGCGCGUUAAGUUAGGUGUGAAAGCCCUGGGCUCAACCCAGGAAUAGCACUUGAUACUGACGUGCUUGAAUUCGGGAGAGGAUGACGGAAUUCCCAGUGUAGAGGUGAAAUUCAUUGAUAUUGGGAAGAACACCAGUGGCGAAGGCGGUCAUCUGGCCCGUAAUUGACGCUGAGGCGCGAAAGCGUGGGGAGCAAACAGG
rnacentral:rRNA from 1 species